rnacentral:misc_RNA from 1 species
UGAAGAAGAACAUGAUGGUGGAUGGAUCAUACAGCUCGUACAUCGUGUUAAAAUCAGGAACCUCGGUGAUGUCAACCAGGUAAAUCACAGCAAAGUUCUUGAUCGUCUCCGCAACUGAAGACAACACCUCAUCCAUCUGCAUACAAGUAUCAUCCCAAUCAUGGCCAAAUCGAAUAAGUACAAGGCGUUCUUCUUCCGCAAGGAUAGCUUGAUCCACAGCCCAUCCAGAGUGAAGAUGUGGUAACAAAUACGACAUCUCUCUCUCAAAUAGUAGCUGAUUUCGAUCUUUUUAUGCAGAAAAAAUGAAGAAAAAAGAAACAGAGAAGAAGCUUACAGAAACAGAGUGCUGAGGUCGUUUCUUUUCAAAAACUCCGUUUUUCUCAUUUUUCUGAGCUGAAUAAUGUUAGGGCUACUCG